rnacentral:lncRNA from 1 species
GGGGUUUAAUGGCACAGGCAGGGAGCCCCGCCAACAGGGAGUUGCAGUAAUCCAGAUGGGAGAUGACAAGUGCCUGGAUUAGGACCUGCGCCGCUUCCUGUGUAAGGCAGGGUCGUACUCUGCGAAUGUUGUAUAGCAUGAACCUACAGGAUCGGGUCACCGCCUUGAUGUUAGCGGAGAACGACAGGGUGUUGUCUAGAAUGACUAGAAACACCCUGACUAGAAACGAUUCGGUUGACUUUUUUAUGUGUGGAUUAAUUGUCGGAGUAGAGGACCUUGUGCAUUUCAGAUAAAACAACAACUCAAUGUUUAUAUCCCAGGACAAAUUAGCUAGCAACAGCAAGCUAGCUAAAUAGGACAAAUUAGUUAGCAAGUGCAAGCUAACUAUCUAAAUUGCCAUAAAUGUUUAAUGCUUUUCGACCUGUCCCCAAAUUAAUAUAAUUGGUUCAGAGUUUGUUUUGAUAUUUUAACCUGCGUGUCGUGAUCACGUUUGGUGGGGUGGGGGACAAAAUGAAUUUAUGCACGAUGGCGCACACGUGCAGCCGGUUUGGGUUCCGUUGUUAGACCACGGCACCACAGGCUACAGCAGCACUUUGUAUAGCUCAGGCCUAUACAUUUAUUUAAGGUCCUGAUCAACCAACUCAAAAGGGGAAGUUGUACAGAGACAUCUGCUUUUGAGUUGUGUUCGUGAUAUACAGUUAAAUAGAGGAGAAGUCAUGCUGCUGAGAGACAGAGGAGAGGUCCUGGACUGAACUAAAGUUAUAUAGAGGAGAAGUCAUGCUGCUGAGAGACAGAGGAGAGGUCCUGGACUGAACUAAAGUUAUAUAGAGGAGAAGUCAUGCUGCUGAGCGACAGAGGAGAGGUCCUGGACUGAACUAAAGCUGACAGUUUGGUCUAUAAUGAAGUUAUACUGCUGAGAGACAGAGGAGAGGUCCUGGACUGAACUAAAGCUGACAGUUUGGCCUAUAAUGACCACUACUGUUUCCGUCAUAAACCAAUAUUUAACUAGGCAAGUCUGUUACGAACAAAUUCUUAUUUACAAUCACGGCCUACUCCGGCCAAACGACGCUGGGCCAAUUGUGCACCGCCCUAUGGGACUCCCAAUCAAAGCCGGAUGUGAUACAGCCUGGAUUUGAACCAGGUACUGUAGUGAUGUCUCUUGCACUGAGAUGCAGUGCCUCAGACCGCUGCGCCACUCGGGAGCCUAAAUGAGUGGAUUUCAUGAAUAAGUUGAAACCACCAAGUCUUUUCAUAUGAAGAGGCUUGUGCUCUACUGUAAACUGGAUUCUCCCCCCAGAUGGUUCAUGUGAAGUUCAGCAUGUGAAACCGUUCUGUAAGGUAAACAACCAACCCACCCAGAUACAGACAGACCCCAGCAGAGGAAUGGUGUCUUGUCUUCUCUUCAGCUGUGUCCCAAGUGCACUACUUCACUAUAUAGGGAAUUUGGGACUCCUACUGAGACUCUCAGCUGAGGAAUGGUGUCAUGUCUUCUCUUCAUAUCUGUCAUAGUAAGGACGUCAAACGUUCAGCCUGCUGCACAGUCCCUAUGGAAGCUCUAGUCUAGAGCGUUCAGCCUGCUGCACAGUCCCUAUGGAAGCUUUAGUCUAGAGCGUUCAGCCUGCUGCACAGUCCCUAUGGAAGCUCUAGUCUAGAGCGUUCAGCCUGCUGCACAGUCCCCAUGGAAGCUCUAGUCUAGAGCGUUCAGCCUGCUGCACAGUCCCCAUGGAAGCUCUAGUCUAGAGCGUUCAGCCUGCUGCACAGUCCCUAUGGAAGCUCUAGUCUGGAGUGUUCAGCCUGCUCCACAGUCCCCAUGGAAGCUCUAGUCUAGAGCGUUCAGCCUGCUCCACAGUCCCC